CGACCGCGAAGCUUCCAUGAAUAAGAAACGCACAAAUACAGGCUCAAGGGCACCUUCCCGAGACGAUCUGACCUCCACCUACACCGAGCUGAACAUUCGGAAAGUCGAACGGCUCAGCAAUAGACAAGCAGAUGGACUGGACCCCACCUACUCUCAGCUGAACCUUCGCCAAAAUGAAGUUCUCAUCGCGAAGGAAGAAGAUCCUCCUCUUGCGUCGGGACGAG